UGGGGAAUCGUCUAACGGCAGGACAGCGGACUCUGACUCCGUUAAUCCAGGUUCGAAUCCUGGUUCCCCAGCCA
rnacentral:tRNA from 1 species